rnacentral:lncRNA from 1 species
ACCACUAAAAUGACAUCCAAAGCUCAUAACCCCCAUUAACACUCAUAAAGCUCAAGGGAAAAGGGUCUCUGGACCUCUUUGGGUCCAGAUCUACAGCACCAACACGAGAAGGGACCAAUUACUCAAUAACCUUCCUCUAAAAGGGGCUAAAAAGCCCUAACUCUAGGAAUUACACCAUAAACUGAAGAAGGGUCGAAUGAAUACCUCAAAAUGAAGUCUCUGAGCCCUGGAAUCACUGGAUUAGCACCCUCUUCAGCCUCCUCUUGUCUUGGUCCUCUUCUAUUUGCAAAAACACUAACAAAUGAUCAAGAAAUGGCUCCUUUCCUCUCACAAUCGCUCUAGCUCACUUAGGGUUUCUCUCUGGGGUCUGGUAGCCGCAAAUGACGGCCAUAAGGCCCCUUAAAUAGGCCCCAAACCCGAGGAAUUAGGGUUUCAUUAAACAGCGUGGACUCGCCGAGUCCUCGGGGCGACUCGCCGAGUCCAGCCAUCCACCCGGAUAAUGAUUCGCGUCUCUACUCGGCGAGUCUACGCACCAACUCGCCGAGUUCUUCCACAAAACUUGAAAUAAAAUGAAUAAAUAUAAUACCUGAAAUUCCGGAUGUUACAAUUCUCCCCCACUUGAAUCAGACUUCGCCCUCGAAGUCUCAUCCCUGAAAUAGCUCCGGAUGCUGCUCACGCAUCUCCCGCUCUGGCUCCCAAGUCAACUCGGAUCCUCUCCGAUGUUGCCACUGAACCUGCACCAGAGGCACCUCCUUGUUCCUCAGAACCUUGAUCUUCUGAUCCACAAUCGCAAUUGGUCUCUCAGCGUAGUUCAGGCUCGCAUCCACCUGAAUAUCCUCUAACGGCACUACCGCCGACUCGUCGGCUAUACACUUCCUCAACUGAGACACAUGGAAGGUAUUAUGAAUCCGCUCCAACUCCGCAGGUAGCUCCAAGCGAUACGCUACGCUGCCCACCCUCGCGAUCACUAUGAACGACCCAAUAUACCGGAGCCCUAGCUUGCCCUUCUUCCUGAAUCGAAUCACUCCUUUCCAAGGAGAUACCUUCAGGAGAACAUAAUCACCGAUCUGGAACUCAAGCUCGGAUCGUCGCCUAUCCGCAUAACUCUUUUGGUGACUCUGAGCGGUCAACAAUCUCUGCCUGACCCGUUGAAUCUGCUCUGUCAUCUGAAGCACAAUCUCCGUGCUACCCAUCACUCGUUGCCCUACCUCUCCCCAACAAAUGGGAGUCCGAAACCUCCUCCCAUACAACAGCUCAAAGGGCGGCAUAUUAAUGCUCGAAUGAUGGUUAUUGUUGUAGGAGAACUCCGCUAAGGGCAAAUACGUGUCCCAACUUCCGCCAAAAUCCAACACGCAUGCUCGGAGCAUGUCCUCGAGCGUCCGAAUCGUCCGCUCGCUCUGACCGUCAGUCUGUGGGUGGUAUGCGGUACUAAAAUGCAGCCUCGUACCCAACUCCUCAUGGAAUUUCUUCCAAAAUCUGGAAGUGAAACGCACAUCUAGAUCUGACACAAUCGAGAUCGGCACCCCAUGUCGCGAUACCACCUCUCUCACAUAUACAUCUGCUAACUUUUUCGUAGAAGAACUCUCACUAAUGGCGAGAAAGUGAGCGCUCUUUGUCAAACGGUCUACUAUCACCCAAAUCGCAUCGACACCCCUCGCCGUUCUCGGCAAUUUGGUGAUAAAAUUCAUGGAUAUCUGCUCCCAUUUUCAUUCUGGGACUUCCAGUGGCUGCAACUUACCAUGUGGUCUCUGAUGUUCGGCCUUAACCCUACGACAAGUUAGGCACCUCUCAACAAACCACGCUACAUCUCUCUUCAUACAGGGCCACCAAUACUCCCUUUUAAGAUCCAGAAACAUCUUAGUGGCCCCGGGAUGGAUCGAGAAUCUCGAUCUAUGCGCCUCCUCCAUCAAGAUGGUACGCGUUCCUCCAACAAACGGUACCCAAAUCCGACCCUGGAAGGUCAUAAGCCCUCUGCUAUCGGUCACGAACUCUGACACCUGUCCGAUAACUCGCUCUCUCUUACGGUUCUCCGGUCUUACUGCCUUAGCCUGAGCCCCUAUGAUGGUGUCCAACACCAGGGUCAUCACCAUCAAUGUCAUACAAAUAUCCCGAAUCGGGGCGCUCUCUGCCCUACGACUCAGAGCGUCGGCUACCACAUUAGCCUUGCCCGGGUGGUACAGGAUCUCGCAAUCAUAAUCCUUUACUACAUCCAACCAUCUCCUCUGACGCAUGUUCAGGUUUGGCUGAUCCAUCAAAUACUUCAAACUCUUGUGGUCCGUGUAUAUCGUACACCGAACCCCAUACAGAUAAUGGCGCCAAAUCUUGAGGGCGAACACCACAGCCCCCAACUCUAGAUCGUGGGUGGGAUACCUUGCCUCAUGAGGCUUCAGCUGCCUCGAUGCGUACGCGAUCACAUGCCCCCUCUGCAUCAACACCGCGCCCAACCCAGAUAUCGAUGCGUCACAAUACACCACGAAGUCCUCCAUUCCCUCUGGAAGAGCCAACACCGGGGCUUCGCACAAUCUCUGGCGAAGAGUCUCAAAUGAGGCCUGCUGAUCCGGGCCCCAGCUGAACACCACACCCUUCCGGGUCAACCUGGUGAGAGGAACAUCAAUCUUGGAGAAAUCCCUGAUGAACCUCCGAUAAUAGCCGUCUAACCCUAGAAAACUCUUGAUCUUGGAAGGAGAUUUCGGCACCUCCCAACUCAACACCGCCUCGAUCUUGGCCGGAUCGACCAAAAUCCCCUUUUGGUUAACGAGGUGACCAAGGAAUUGCACCUCUCGUAACCAAAAAUCGCACUUGGAGAAUUUGGCAUAAAGCCUCUCCGAUCUCAGCAUACUGAGGAUUUCUCGCAAAUGCUCCUCAUGCUGCUCCCUGGAUCUCGAAUAUACCAAAAUGUCGUCAAUGAACACAAUCACUGAUCGAUCCAGCAUCGGUCUGCAUACCCUGUUCAUGAGAUCCAUGAACGCUGCAGGCGCAUUGGUGAGCCCGAAUGGCAUCACCACGAACUCGUAAUGCCCAUAACGAGUCCUGAACGCGGUCUUCUGGAUAUCCUCCUCGCGCACCCUCAUCUGAUGAUAUCCAGAUCUCAGAUCAAUCUUGGAAAACCAAGAUGCUCCCUGCAGCUGAUCGAACAAAUCGUCGAUCCUCGGCAAAGGAUAACGGUUCUUGACCGUUAACUUAUUCAGCUCUCAAUAAUCUAUACACAUUCCCUGCGAACCAUCCUUUUUCUUCACAAAAAGGAUCGGUACUCCCCACGGCGAGCUGAUCGGCCGUAUAAACCCCUUCCCCAGCAGCUCCUGAAGCUGCGAGGAUAACUCCUGCAUCUCUGGAGGUGCAAGGUGAUAGGGCGCCUUGGCAAUAGGUGCUGCCCCCAGAAGCAAAUCAAUGCGAAACUCAACCUGCCUCUCGGGAGGCACACCCGGUAACUCCUCGGGAAAGACAUCCGGGAAUUCCCGCACUAUCGGAACCUCCUCAACCGUACUCGGUCUCUUUGCACCAACUCUCGUAUCCAUCACAUACGCUACAAAACCACUACAGCCCUGCUGUAGACUCUGUCUCGCUCUAGCAGCCGAACAAAACGCUGAAUCGGGACGGGUACCCUCGCCAUACACCGUAAGAACUCCCCCACUUGGGUCUCGUAUAGUCACCAGUUGCCGCUCGCAAUCGAUAACGGCUGCAAAUUUGCUCAACCAAUCCAUGCCUACGAUGACACAGACAUCCCCCAUCACAAUAGGGACCAAAUCAAUAGGAAACUAUACACCGAAGAUCUCGAGUACACAUCCUCGAAUCACCUCUAUGGCAUACACUACUCUCUCGUCGGCGAUGGAGACUCUCAGAGGUCGACUCAACGCCUCUCGACUAAUACUGAUGUGCUGACUAAAAGCCAACGAUAUAAAAGAUCGACUCGCACCCGAGUCAAAUAACACUAAAGUAGGUACAGAACUCACAAGAAAAGUACCUACGCAUACCACAAUAUAAGCACAAAAUCUCAAACAUUAAAAUAAAUACAUGAAAGAAUACAUACCAGCCACGACAUCGGGCGCUGCGCGGACCUCUUCCGCAGUCAACUAGAAGGCUCUCCCCCAAGCCUUCGGCGUCUCGGUCUUCACCGUCCGACUAUCAGAAGCUCUAAUAGCAGCAGGGACAGACCCCUGAGAAGCUCCCUGUGCUGACCCUCGUAGCAGCAGACACUCGGCCUUCCGGUGUUCGGUCUGGUUGCAGUGGAAACACACUGCAAACCCCUUGGGGCAGUCCUUGGCCAUAUGCCCCUCCUUGCUACACUUGUAGCAAGAUCCAUCUCUACAAACUUCAUCAUGACCCUUGUCGCACUUUCCACAAGUGCGGCCCUUCUGGCUCCCUGCUCUGGGAUCAGCGGGCUUGGCCCGCUUGGCUGCCGGCUGGGACUGUGCAGGUCGCCGAUCCCUCCCCUGAGUCUCCGACUCCUCCCUAGCCUGAGUCUUUAGCUCGAUCUCCCUCUUCCGGGCAUUUGCCUGAAGCUCGGCAAAUGUCCGGUACGAGGAGUUCGCCACGAACUCCUGAAUAUAUGUCCUCAAAAUACUCAAAUAACGGCUCAUACGUGCCUGCUCAGAAGACACGUGCUCAGGGCAGAACAUCGCCCUCUCAUGAAACAACCUGGUAAUAACCGUAACAGACUCCGUACCCUGCUUGAGGGUCAAAAACUCCUUUGCCAACCAAUCCCCUUCCACCGGGGGAACGUACUCAUCACGAAACAUGGCGGUGAACCUCUCUCAGGUCACCGCAACAAAGCUAUGUUGGAGAAUAGUGUGCUGUCGUGAACUUCCACCAAUCCUUCGCCCCCAGGCGAAGCUGGUUCAGCACAAACCGAACCCUCAAGUGCUCCGGGCACGAGCAUGUAUAGAAACACCCCUCAAUGUCAGAUACCCAUCUCAUCGCUGCAAUCGGAUCCUGCGUCCCAUCAAACUCUGGUGGCUUCGUGUUGCUGAACUCCCUGAACAACAACGAGUCACCCCCUUGCGGCCUAGCGGCAGCGACGGCUGCGGUGGCCGCUNGCUCGUCAAAAGUCUCAAUCAGCGUGGUCUUGAUAGACCCGAACAUCUCUGGUAUCUCUGCCCUGAUGGCCGCAGCCACCUCCUCAUGGAUGAUCCGGCGGAUCUCCUCAUCACUAGUCUCGCUGCUCUCUGGUGCAUGAAGUGUCCUCACCAUGAUCUACCUCUGAAAUACAACAUACGAUAUAUUAGAAACUCACUCGAGCAUACUCGCACUCGAUAACUCAUCCCUCCUUGAUCCCUGACAUCCCGAAGAUUCUUACUUGAACUGUACACCGUCCCGGUGUUUUCAGUAGUACGGGCCCAAUACUACCGUCCACACCGCGUCAGUAUACACCCCAAGUCCUCCUCCUAGGAUCCCAAGUCCCAAGUACUCUAUUAUGCAUGAUCCACUCUCUAACAGAUCUCUAAUAAGCUCCUCACUGCUACCUACUCACUCUCAAGCAUCUCAUAGCAGCUCACCUCCCCCUAGGCUAAGGCAUCACAAAUCAGGCCACUCUAGUCCUAAUAGGAAUACCUAGCCCACUCUAGCACGAGAAUACAUCAUAUCAAUCUCAUAAGCAUAUAACAUAAGGGUAUUUUGGGAAAUCACCGUUCGGGCGCUGACUGAUCGUACACACGACUCUGCUCUGCGUUUUCCAAAAAUCUUUUACUCUUUUUAGAAAACUUGGUUCUCUUUUGAAAAUAUUUCUCAAAUCCUCAGUUUGAGUUCAAAUACGCCCGAAGGUGUACUCGAAUCCCUCAAACCAAGGCUCUGAUACCAACUUGUAACACCGUAAAUUUCAAAACAAUUUUUCGCAUUUUAUAAAAACAUAAUUCAUUCAUUACUCAUAAAAACAUCAUUGUUUAAAACUCAAUUCAUAACAUAUAUCAAUCCCAAGAUCUCAUAGCAUAAAAAUCCCGUGUGUGUACUGAUCAAGCCGGCGCCUUCCCGCGAUCCUCACUAGUACCUGAAACACAUAACACAUAACACUGUAAGCACGAAGCUUAGUGAGUUCCCCAAAAUACCAUAUAUAACACAUAUUAGCCACUCGAGGCUAUAACUCUGUGGGUCCGUGCACCCAAACUCUGUGAACCCUCAGGUUCUAUCUCUGUGAACCUUCCGGUUCUAACUCUGUAACAUGCACAACAUAAAUCACAUAGAAUAAUGCAAUGCAACACAUAACACAUAUAUAGCAUACAACACUGUAUCACAUAACUCUGAUUACCUACUCAAGGUAAAGUAUAGUGAGAAGACUCACCUCAGACUCUCGUAAAUCCCUGACUCGGUAGAAGUAUUGCCUAGCCUCCGCCUAUUCACACAAAGUAAAUAUCCUCAUAAAUAUAACACUCGAGGCUAGACUCGACCCUCUAUUGUCACCCUCAGAAGGGUAAAAGACUAUUUUACCCCCCUCUUGACUCAAGGACUCCAUUGCUGACCAAACCCUAAAAGUCAACAAAAGUCAACGGUCAAACUUUGACCCAACUCGCCGAGUGCACUCCGGUGACUCGGCGAGUACACACAUGACUCCUAACUCUAUGUCCCGCUUGGCACGUCGAGUCCCUCCCUAAACUCGACGAGUCACAUCAGACAUGAAUCGCGGGGCCACCCCGACUCAACUCGCCGAGUUUCAAGAACAACUCGACGAGUACAGCCUUGAACUUCAGUCCUCUAAUCCCAAUCUGACUCACUGAGUCAUCCCCCAACUCGGCAGUCCACUCACUGAAUGAUUAAUGGGCAACCUUCAUACUACUCGCCGAGUUUGUUCUUGGGACUCGAUGAGUUCAUGCCUAGCACACUCUCAAAACAACUUCUGAGGUCAGAUCCGUCCCAUACAAUCAUAGAUCUGGCUUCCCCAAGCAUGAUAAUCACGUAAAGUUAACAUCUUGGUGCUCAUGCAAAGGCUUAAAGGCCUUAUUUGAAGAUAUGACCACUAAAAUGACAUCCAAAGCUCAUAACCCCCAUUAACACUCAUAAAGCUCAAGGGAAAAGGGUCUCUGGACCUCUUUGGGUCCAAAUCUAUAGCACCAACACGAGAAGGGGCCAAUUACUCAAUAACCUUCCUCUAAAAGGGGCUAAAAAUCCCUAACUCUAGGAAUUACACCAUAAACUGAAGAAGGGUCGAAUGAAUACCUCAAAAUGAAUUCUCU